rfam:Astyanax mexicanus chromosome 5, whole genome shotgun sequence.
UUGAAACACUGUUGUAAGUCGCUCUGGAUAAGGGCGUCUGCUAAAGACCUUAAA